CCUACGGGCGGCAGCAGUGAGGAAUAUUGGUCAAUGGACGAGAGUCUGAACCAGCCAAGUAGCGUGAAGGAUGACUGCCCUAUGGGUUGUAAACUUCUUUUAUAUGGGAAUAAAACGUUCCACGUGUGGGAUUUUGUAUGUACCAUAUGAAUAAGGAUCGGCUAACUCCGUGCCAGCAGCCGCGGUAAUACGGAGGAUCCGAGCGUUAUCCGGAUUUAUUGGGUUUAAAGGGAGCGUAGGUGGAUUGUUAAGUCAGUUGUGAAAGUUUGCGGCUCAACAGUAAAAUUGCAGUUGAAACUGGCAGUCUUGAGUACAGUAGAGGUGGGCGGAAUUCGUGGUGUAGCGGUGAAAUGCUUAGAUAUCACGAAGAACUCCGAUUGCGAAGGCAGUUCACUGGACUGCAACUGACACUGAGGCUCGAAAGUGUGGGUAUCAAACAGGAUUAGAUACCCUUGUAGUC
rnacentral:rRNA from 1 species